UACGUAGGGAGCAAGCGUUGUCCGGAAUCAUUGGGCGUAAAGCGCGCGUAGGCGGCCCGAUAAGUCCGCUGUGAAAAUCAACGGCUCAACUGUUGGAUGCCGGUGGAUACUGUCGGGCUAGAGUACGGAAGAGGCAAGUGGAAUUCCUGGUGUAGCGGUGGAAUGCGCAGAUAUCAGGAGGAACACCUAUAGCGAAGGCAGCUUGCUGGGACGUUACUGACGCUAAGGCGCGAAAGCGUGGGGAGCGAACAGG
rnacentral:rRNA from 1 species